GAUUAACGCUAGCGGCAGGCAUAAUACAUGCAAGUUGAACGGCAGCACAGGUAGCAAUACUGGGUGGCGAGUGGCGCACGGGUGCGUAACACGUAUGCAACCUACCCUAUACAGGCGAAUAACCUUUAGAAAUGAGGGCUAAUACGCCGUAGUAUUACAGAUGGGCAUCUAUUUGUAAUUAAAGAUUUAUCGGUAUAGGAUGGGCAUGCGUCCCAUUAGUUAGUUGGUAAGGUAACGGCUUACCAAGACGAUGAUGGGUAGGGGAUCUGAGAGGACUUACCCCCAAACGGGUACUGAGACACGGACCAGACUCCUACGGGAGGCAGCAGUAAGGAAUAUUGGGCAAUGGCCGCGAGGCUGACCCAGCCAUGCCGCGUGCAGGAAGACGGCCUUAUGGGUUGUAAACUGCUUUUAUACGGGAAUAAUAGAGUGUACGCGUACAUUUAUGCAAGUAUCGUAUGAAUAAGCAUCGGCUAACUCCGUG
rnacentral:rRNA from 1 species